rnacentral:tRNA from 1 species
GGCUUCGUAGUUCAAUGGAUAGAAUAGGGCUUUCCUAAAGCUUUGAUGGAGGUUCGAUUCCUCUCGAGGCUACAA